ACAAUCGUAACACUUCGUCCAUCUCCGGAUUCUCCGUAAAGAGUAGACUCGUACCUAACUACCAGCCAUCUUGGCUUUGAUACACCCAACGCGUGAUCCGCCUGCGUUAUAAGGCGAUAUACUACGCAUAAAAAUAGUGAUGCAAUACAUAGAGGAGUUAAAAUGGAUUUCAAGUCUGAUCUAGAAUAUGCGACGAGCAAGCUGAAGAUAGAGUUUAGUUUUAGCGACUACCAAUUGAAAGCCCUAAAGAGUCUUUAUGAUUUGAAAGAUACGAUCGCAGUUCUUCUAACUGGCUCAGGAAAAAGCAUUAUUUUUCAGGGGUUCAGAUUUCUGCAAAGCGUUCAACAGACUUGGAGACCUGAC